UCCGGCUUAUCACCGGCAGUCGCCUUAGAGUGCCCAACUAAAUAAUGGCAACUAAUGACAAGGGUUGCGCUCGUUGCGGGACUUAACCCAACAUCUCACGACACGAGCUGACGACAGCCAUGCAGCACCUGUGUUCCCGUUCCCUUCCGGGCACAGCCCCAUCUCUGGGGCCUCCAGGACAUGUCAAGGGUAGGUAAGGUUUUUCGCGUUGCAUCGAAUUAAUCCACAUAAUCCACCGCUUGUGCGGGUCCCCGUCAAUUCCUUUGAGUUUUAAUCUUGCGACCGUACUCCCCAGGCGGCGAACUUCACGCGUUAGCUUCGUUACCAAAGAAUUGCUUCCCCGACAACUAGUUCGCAUAGUUUAGGGCGUGGACUAC
rnacentral:misc_RNA from 1 species